ACCCAUCCUGCACUGUGUAUUCUGACCCCUUUCUGUCAGAACCAGCAUUAACUUCUUCAGCAAUUUGAGCAACAGUAGCUCGUCUGUUGGAUCGGAUCACACGGGCCAGCCUUCACUCCCCACGUGCAUCAGUGAGCCUCGGCCGCCCAUGACCCUGUCUCCGGUUCACCACUGUUCCUUCCUUGGACCACUUUUGAUAGAUACUGACCACUGCAGACCGGGAACACCCCACAAGAGCUGCAGUUUUGGAGAUGCUCUGAUCCAGUGGUCUAGCCAUCACAAUUUGGUCCUUUUGGUCAAACUCGCUCAAAUCCUUACACUUGUCCAUUUUUCCUGCUUCUAACAUCAACUUUGAGGACAAAAUGUUCACUUGCUGCCUAAUAUAUCCCCCCCACUAACAGGUGUGUGUGUGUAUAUAUAUAUAUAUAUAUUCUUCUCUUUCUAAAAGAAGAAUAGGAAUUAACAUGUGAUGUAAAUGAGAGACAGAUCAUUUCAAAUGAGAGAAAUAUGUUUCUGCUUUAGUAAGUGUGACUUAUGAGGUUUUAUAAAGAAAUUGACGUACGUAGUCUAAUGACACAUCAUUGACAGACAGAGCCAUGAAUAUGUUUUGUAAAAUGUUAUUUUUGUAAAAGUGGGCGGAACCUAAAGCUUCUUCAAAGUUAAGUUUCCAGCUGAGGUUGCAGUUCUGUAAAAACAGAGAAUAAACAUAUUUCUGCUGACUUUUCAUAUUCUACUACUGCAGCGCAAGAGACGAUAAUGUCUCACCCUCCACAGAGCUGGCCUCUGUUAGUAAAAAGAACAAUUAUAAUGAUGUUUAUAACCGGUGCAUGCUCAUCAUGGACUUAACCACAUGUUUGGAAAGAUCUUCAUGAUUGUAACAUGGAGUGAGCAGAUCACCAUGCAGGUCAAGAUCCUAAUCGUCUCCAUUCACUGGAAUCUCUAUCAAUUACUUGUUAUGAAGCACGAAAAGGCCUCGAGACCCAAACGCUGGGCUGCAUGACUCAGAGCUGGUUCUGUUCCAGGAAAAAGUGAGAUGGUGAGAAAACCCUGCAAGUGCUAUUCUGUGAAACAGAGAACUUGAAAAGAAGAUGCUUGCUUGAAGAAAGCUCAUGCCAUUCCUCGAAGAUCGAAGUCUUCUCACCACAGCACAAAAAAUGUGUGGUGUCUCAUGUUCUGAUGAUGCUUCAUAGAUCUAGUUCUUCUUAGAAGUUUAUUUUUAAAAAUGAAGAGCCUUAUAUAGUCUGGACAUCGCUAAAACCAGUUACUUCCUGUUUUUGCUGACGUUGCGAUUGUUGUUUCUUUACAAGCCUCUCUCUCUCUCUCUCUCUCUCUUGACUAAGUGACAUACAAUAGCUGAAGUCCUAGUCCUGAAUCUGAAGAUAAACCUGUGAUAUGGGAAUCAAUCAUGACCUUCUGACCAUGCAGACAGCGUUUAGUCAUAAUGUUGUGAAUCUCAUAACACAGGAUCACCUUACAAACUGUACAAAGUGCAUUCCUGCAUGUAGAAUGGGAAUGUGAGAUCAGUGCCAUUCCCAUAAACCUCCAGUUCCAUGGAGAAAUUUAAUCUGUUCUACACACACAGACAAACUGCUAAGUGGUCAGCCAGAGCCAGGUGCCUUUGUCUUUUACUGACCAGCCAUCAGAGAUUCGGAACAAAAACAUGUCUGUUGAUACUUCUUUUUUUUCUUUUCUUUUUUUUUCUUUUUAAAUACAGUGUAGACUUUGACUCUUAAAAGCAGAUGCUGUUGAUCUGAAAAUGACAGAAAUACGUCUGUUAUCUUAGACCAACUUCUUUUAGCAGACCUGGAAUUCUAAUAUAAACUAUUUAAAAGCUGGAACUUUUACAUCUACACCGAUCAGUCAUAACAUCAUGAGCAGUGAGAGGUGAAGUGAAUAAGACUGAGUAUCUCCUCAUCAUGGCUCCUGUUAGUGGGGGGGAUAUAUUAGGCAGCAAGUCAACAUUUUGUCCUCAAAGUUGAUGUUAGAAGCAGGAAAAAUGGACAAGCGUAAGGAUUUGAGCGAGUUUGACAAAGGGCCAAAUUGUGAUGGCUAGACCACUGGAUCAGAGCAUCUCCAAAACUGCAGCUCUUGUGGGGUGUUCCCGGUCUGCAGUGGUCAGUAUCUAUCAAAAGUGGUCCAAGGAAGGAACAGUGGUGAACCGGAGACAGGGUCAUGGGCGGUCAAGGCUCAUUGAUGCACGUGGGGAGUGAAGGCUGGCCCGUGUGAUCCGAUCUAACAGACGAGCUACUGUUGAUCAAACUGCUGAAGAAGUUAAUGCUGGUUCUGAUAGAAAGGGGUCAGAAUACACAGUGCAGGACGGGUCAGGAUUGUUUUGGCUGCAAAAGGGGGACCAACACGAUAUUAGGCAGGCGGUCAUAAUGUUAUGCCUGAUCAGUGUAUAUACUGUAUUAUAACUCCCUGUAAAAGUGUGAGAUAAAUUAGGAGAUAACGUUUUUUUUUUCUAGAUGAAUCUGGUCACUCUUUAAACGCUGGAACAGGCGGAUUGUGUAAGAUGGAGGUUAUGUUAAAAACAAAUAUUUCUACACAUUUGUGACUAAUUUAUAGUAAAAAAUAAUAAAUAUAAAAAAGGUUAAGGUUUUAAUCUUAAUCAUGAAGUUAUAAUCACACCGAGUUAGUCUUGAGUUUAGGAGCAGUGACCUCCAUCAAGUGUUUUCAGUCAGUAUAUUUGGGCUGUCAGCCCUCUUCUGGUCAUAUCUCAGCAUCUGAAUUGGGUCAGAACUCUGGCAUGGCUAUUUUGGUUUAUUGUCUUGUUUCAUCACCCAGCCUCUGAUAAGCUUGAGGUCACGUACUGUCGCCCUGACGUGCUCCUGUAAAAUGUUCUGAAUGAAGCAAAGCAGCUCCAGACCAUGAUGUUCCCUACACUGUUCUUCAGAGUUAUGAGGUUCUCAGUGCCUUAUGUUCCUCCAGAGCAUUACACAUUUUUUCACAGAACAUUUUGUUCAGCCUGCAGUUUGUAGAGUCUUCUGCAGAGCUUCUGCUGUUACUCUUGGGUCCUGUUUUAUAUGUUUCAGGAUUGCUUAUGUUCUCAGUUGUAAUCUUUGCAGGACGCCUGCUCCUAGGGAGUGUAGCAAGACUUCUGAAUCUUUCUCCAUUUCCAAAUAGUUUGUCUUGUCAUGAAUUUUCUUUCUAGAAAUGCGGUUGGAGCGCUCCACGUGGAAGUUUACACAUUUAACAGAGGUGUAUACGUCAUCUCUAAUGAAAGUGCUGAGAUGUAAUCUUUAAUCCCCCAGAGUAUGACCUACAGUUGCCAGAUUGUCAAGAUGGCUCCCUCACUGAGAACAUUCCGUGUUCAGAGUGAGGUUUAGUUCUUCUUUAUAGAUAACAGGAAGUCCUGCUGUCUCCUACACCACAUCACCAUGUCGACAUUUGUGACAUCACUGAAGAAAUAAAAUGAAGAAAUUAAAAAAAAGACAGCAUCAGACACCCAGCAGGAUGAUUUGGGGUACACACACACAUUGCUGAACUCUUACUGUCCUGCAGCAGAGCUUUAACCUCACCGGACUCGUGUAUUCUUGGUUAGAAAGCAAGUUCUUUCCACUUGGGUUAAACAUAUCAUCAGUGUAACAUGUUUGGUAAAGUGUUCACACUGUGUGAAUGGUGUGAAAACCAGGUCCUGAGAAGUCUGAAGCUCUGAUGCGUCACUAGCAGCGGCGGCAUCAUCUUUUAGAAAAUGAUGUAACUGGAUCCAGUAAAGCAGCGUACGGUCAUGAAGAUGUCUGAGAACCAACAUCCUGAGAUCUUACUGUAGCUCUUUCUUUCAUGAAGGUUCAUAAUAAGAACGAAACCUCGUUGGUCGUAGGUGAAUGAAACAGGAAGGUGGUAGUGUGUGUUGCCUUCCUGGAAUUCGCUCUUAUGGUCUGAAUUAUAGUAGGGUGAAAAGUACUAAUCCCUAGGGGUCUUCAGUUGUGGUUAGAGCAAAUGGAGAAAAAGAGGUUACAGUGUCGAAGUGUGAGUCAAAUGGUACAGUUAUGUAUUUCUUCAGAGUGUGUGUGUGUGUGUGUGUGUGUGUGUGUGUGUGUGUGUGGAAAAUACAGCUAUUUAAAUUUCACUUGAGUUUGAACUGACUGUUAAAAAGUUCCUAUCGAUCACACUAAACCUUCCACAGAAGGAAGUUUAUUUUUUGAUUCUGAUUCAGUUUUCUGAACGCAGGGAUAUUUAUAACAGAAAUGUUUUCUCUGUGCAUGUGACGUAUAGUAACGAUAUUAAGCUUGCAGCCAGAUUGAAGCUUCAUAGCGAGGUUAUACCUCAGGUACCUUCGGUGAGGCGUUCUUAAAAGUCUUUACAUACAGUAGUGAGAGACACAAAAAGAAAGUCAUGAAUAAUUUAUAUUUUUUAUCACGUAUGUGCUUCGGGUAACACCUUAUCUGAGGCUUCAUAACGUAUUCAUAUGCACUGUGUAAAUAUUUUACAUUGGAUAUUUUCUGCCUUUAAAGGAAGCAGCAUGGGUGUAACGUUACUGUUAUCACACUGUUACCAUGACGAUGUGUUUUCAUGCACAAUUUGCCGGCGUAAUUGUUUGUUAUUAAAACAUACGUUUUUUUCCGUUCUUGGUUACAUUUCGGUUUGUUCUGAGAAAGAAGAAGUUUAUGUAAGCUCCGAGUUACGCUACAGCAGAUGUAAACAGAUGUUCCCUAGACACGCUCUGUUUCUUCUCUCCGGAUGUUUUAUUUCAAGGAUACGAUCGUAUGAUCCCUGUGAUUUACAGGAGCACGACUCGACUGACUGAGCUGCCAUUAAAUAAAUUAAUCAACAUCCUUCUCACCAAGUGACCUUCAGGCGAGUGAUUACGGGCUUCUUAGUGUUUGUGUUUUAUUGUGUUUAUGUAACGUGAUUUAAAUUCAGUUUUUUGUUCAGGUGAUGGUGUUAGGAAUAGAACACACACACAGAGAAAGAGAUCCAGUAUAAUAGCAUGAGUACUUUAUUUUGUGUGUGUGUGUGUGUGUAUGUGUGUGUGUGUGUGUGUGUGUAAGAGGUUCUUCAGGGAAACACAGCAGUCUUCUUUCCUGGAAGUGAUUUUGCACUUUCAUGUCUGUUCUUCACCGUGAGCAGAAUGCUGUGGAAAGCGUCUGCAUUCUCACAACUCCACAACUCUUUGUUCCCCCUGUUUAUAUGAUUAUACUCAGAAAUAAAAUCCGGCGAGUGUUAAACUAAAACACCAUCACAUGCCCUUUCAUCUGAAUUCACUCUUCGUCUGAAAUCUUUCACCAGAACUCUCACAUUCGUUCGACUUCUUCGGAAGAUACCAAUCCAGACCCUGAAAGAUUUGAAAAAGAUAACUCACAGCUGCUUUGUUCUCAGGCAGAUUUCCGUCAUGGGCCACCACACUUAGUUUCACCCCGGGGUGCUUCUCAGUAAGCACUUACGCUUUCAAGAUAGUGUGGUGAUUCAGAAAAGAAAAAAAAGAAGAAGAAGGAGAAGAAGCAGGAAGCUUUCAAGAACUCAUUCAUGAGUCACAAGAAAUUCAUACACUGUCAUUAUGUGCAGAACGUCAAACAGAUCUGAGUGAAAGAAAUCACUUCCUCCUGCGUCAAACACUAUUACCACUGAUCAGCUAGAGUUUACGUUCCUUCACUGAAACUAAGAGGCCUGUUCCAGCAUGAGAAAGUGCACAAAGGAGCUGCACAAAGACAUGGCGUGGAGGUUAAGCUUUAGGUGAAAGAGCUGUGUCCUGCACAGAGCCCUGGAUACCUGGAACACAGAC